AGUAUUCCUCCUUCUUUAAUAUGUGGAUGAGUAUGGUUUAGUUUGAUGAUAAUUGAUGGUGAGCGCAUUCUGCAAAUACCAUUACAAUCGUGGAUACGAAUCGUUGAACACAGAAAUUGGCCAACAGCUUGAGAGAUUUUAUCCGGUAUUAUUGUUUAGCAACCAAUGUUAGUGUAAUGUGUACGCAUCAUCGGAAAUUGAUCGACGGCGAUUAUGUCGAUGUGUUUCUCUGUUGAGUACUUGGGUAAAUUUGGGGAGAUGAAAGAGGGAUUGUUGGGUAAAUAGUAGGAGUAUUUAAGAUUAUGAUUUGAUAGACUCCAGGCGAUGUCAAUUUAUUGGCUGUAAGCCUUUAAUGCUGUAGCUGAAUUGAUAUUGAAUUGAUGACUGUAAUGUGUACGCAUCAUCGAAAUUUAUACGAAUAUAUUUGUUGUAUUGA